rnacentral:misc_RNA from 1 species
UCCAGAUAUUAGUGAUACUCACUCAUGAUUUCAUACAAUGGUGUGUUUAUACUUACAAUAAACAAACUACAAAAACAUUUGGCGGGCUAUGCAACGUUACUACUAUUAUAACAAUGAUCCGGGUCGGCUAUUUAUAUACAGUGCUCACAAUUGAAUCCAAGUUCCUCAUGCUGCAACAAGCUUCUGGAUAUCCUUCUCAAUCUGGAAAGGCGAGGUUGUCGGCGGGUAUCUCUCCACAACCUUGCCAUUUUUGUCUACCAAAAACUUCUCAAAGUUCCAUUUUAUAAGAUCACCCAAGAACCCUCCAGCACUGGACUUGAGAAAUUGGUAGACUGGAGCCGUGUUCGGCCCGUUAACUUCAACCUUAUCAAAAAUAGGGAAUUCUGCUUUGAAUCUUGUACAGGCAAACUGUUUUAUCUCUGGGUUUGAUCCAGG